CGUGCGCACUGGCGACGCCGACUCCGAGGGCCAAGUGAGCGAUGGGCUCAAGAUGGAGGCGGGGGAGAAAGAAAGGAGAUCGCCGCCGAAAAGAGAUGAGCCCACUACUUCUCGUCUUCGAAUUGCGCCAGCCCCGAGCUGUUGGCCAGGAUGGGAAGAUUCAUGAGACCUGUGCCGAAGCCAACCAGCGGCAGCGGAGACCGCGGACCGAAGAUGAUACCGCAGCGUCCUGAGCUUGAAGCACAGCGACGGCGGCACGUUUCGGUGCGGCGCCCUCCGUGUGAUGCUGCCAUCCUGUGGUCGAAGGGGAGAACUUCCGCCGAGGCUUCAGAACGACCAUCCAGCUCAACAAGGACCCGUUGGAAAACGCAGUACAAGUAUGGAGAGAAAACGUUUUUGAAGCUUUUUGCUGUGUCCCCCUGCAAUGUUCUGAUCGGGUCCUUUUCAAGUGAGGAUUCAUUGACCGAAGAGAAAUAGCUACCCCAGCGAUGCGGAAGCAGUGUGACGAGCAACAAGCAAGCUCCUAUGGAGGCCAGCGUUCGCCAAUGCAAAGGCAACCACCUCCAGCAUGGUCGUUUUGGCAACAAGACUGCCACUUAUCUGCUCAGGUUUGACUCUUAUCCCAAAAGGGAUACACGGAUAACAGAGGUCCCGCGGGGAGAUGGGCCUCUGAUGGAGAUCCGUCCUGGGCGACCUUCCACCGCUACCGCCUCUUCCUCCACCUUCGCCCACUCCUCCCCCUGGAGGGGGAGAGAGAGCUUGAUGUACAGGGAGAGUGUGGCUCAACGCUCCCAUGAGACGCCCACCUAAUGCUACCGGAGGCUCACCGGAGAUGACGAAGAGCUUCGCCUCUUCACAAAUGGCUUGGCUCGGCCACUCCCGCUUACGGCCGUGGCUGGUGACGUACCCGAGAUGGCGGCAAGUCGCGGAUGGCAACCGUUGCAGACUCUUCACUGGAUGCGGCGGUCCUGUGCAAAGCGAGUACGCGAGCCUGAAAAGUAUGGAGCCCAGCGCAGGUGAAUAUGAAACUCUGCACAA